rnacentral:rRNA from 1 species
GUGGCCCCAAGUCAGGCGAGGUCCACCCGC